UACGAAGGGGGCUAGCGUUGCUCGGAAUUACUGGGCGUAAAGCGCACGUAGGCGGUCUUUAAGUCGGUGGUGAAAUCCGUGGAAGCUCAACUCCAGAACUGCCUUCGAUACUGGAAGACUUGAGUCCGGGAGAGGUGAGUGGAACUGCGAGUGUAGAGGUGAAAUCGUAGAUUAUUCGCAAGAACACCAGUGGCGAAAGGCGGCUCACUGGCCCGGUACUGACGCUGAGGUGCGAAAGCGUGGGGAGCAAACAGG
rnacentral:rRNA from 1 species